GCAGUAAAGUGGGGAAGGAAGUUAAGAGCUUUUUCUUGUUCACAUUCAGAAAAUCAAGAGUUGCUUCUGCAACAACUGGAUCUGCAAAUUCACGGCUCAAACAAACGAAAACAUGUCCUUAGACUGGGAUCAGCAUCAUGCAGAACCACCUCACCAAAGUCGAGGAAAAAUUGAAGAAUGGCCAGUAAGAGAAGUCCAUAAGAGGACUUGGAUU
rnacentral:misc_RNA from 1 species